rnacentral:rRNA from 1 species
UCAGUUCGGACUGUAGGCUGCAACUCGCCUACACGAAUUGGAAUUGCUAGUAAUCGUGGAUCAGCAUGCCACGGUGAAUACGUUCCCGGGUCUUGUACACACCGCCCGUCACACCAUGGGAGCUGGUAACACCCGAAGUCAGUAGUCUAACCGCAAGGAGGACGCUGCCGAAGGUGGGAUUAGCGACUGGGGUGAAGUCGUAACAAGGUACC